CGCGGGAUGGAGCCGCUUGGUAGCUCGUCGGGCUCAUAACCCGAAGGUCGUCGGUUCAAAUCCGGCUCCCGCAACCA
rnacentral:tRNA from 1 species